UGCGCGGAAGAUGUAACGGGGCUAAACCAUGCACCGAAGCUGCGGCAGCGACACUAUGUGUUGUUGGGUAGGGGAGCGUUCUGUAAGCCUGCGAAGGUGUGCUGUGAGGCAUGCUGGAGGUAUCAGAAGUGCGAAUGCUGACAUAAGUAACGAUAAAGCGGGUGAAAAGCCCGCUCGCCGGAAGACCAAGGGUUCCUGUCCAACGUUAAUCGGGGCAGGGUGAGUCGACCCCUAAGGCGAGGCCGAAAGGCGUAGUCGAUGGGAAACAGGUUAAUAUUCCUGUACUUGGUGUUACUGCGAAGGGGGGACGGAGAAGGCUAUGUUAGCCGGGCGACGGUUGUCCCGGUUUAAGCAUGUAGGCUGGUUAUCCAGGCAAAUCCGGAUAACCAAGGCUGAGGUGUGAUGACGAGGCACUACGGUGCUGAAGUAACAAAUGCCCUGCUUCCAGGAAAAGCCUCUAAGCAUCAGGUAACAUCAAAUCGUACCCCAAACCGACACAGGUGGUCAGGUAGAGAAUACCAAGGCGCUUGAGAGAACUCGGGUGAAGGAACUAGGCAAAAUGGUGCCGUAACUUCGGGAGAAGGCACGCUGGUGUGUAGGUGAAGUCCCUGCGGAUGGAGCUGAGACCAGUCGAAGAUACCAGCUGGCUGCAACUGUUUAUUAAAAACACAGCACUGUGCAAACACGAAAGUGGACGUAUACGGUGUGACGCCUGCCCGGUGCCGGAAGGUUAAUUGAUGGGGUUAUCCGUAAGGAGAAGCUCUUGAUCGAAGCCCCGGUAAACGGGCGGCCGUAACU
rnacentral:rRNA from 1 species